AGAGUUCGAUCCUGGCUCAGGAUGAACGCUGGCGGCGUGCUUAACACAUGCAAGUCGAACGAGAAAUGUAGACGGAAACCUUCGGGCGGAAGGCUUCAUUUCGAGUGGCGGACGGGUGAGUAACGCGUGGGUAACCUGCCUCAUACAGGGGGAUAACAGUUGGAAACGACUGUUAAUACCGCAUAAGACCACAGCACCGCAUGGUGCGGGGGUAAAAACUCCGGUGGUAUGAGAUGGACCCGCGUUCGAUUAGCCAGUUGGCGGGGUAACGGCCCACCAAAGCGACGAUCGAUAGCCGAUCUGAGAGGAUGACCGGCCACAUUGGGACUGAGACACGGCCCAAACUCCUACGGGAGGCAGCAGUGGGGAAUAUUGCACAAUGGGGGAAACCCUGAUGCAGCGACGCCGCGUGAGUGAAGAAGUAUUUCGGUAUGUAAAGCUCUAUCAGCAGGGAAGAUAAUGACAGUACCUGACUAAGAAGCCCCGGCUAACUACGUGCCAGCAGCCGCGGUAAUACGUAGGGGGCAAGCGUUAUCCGGAUUUACUGGGUGUAAAGGGAGCGUAGACGGAAUGGCAAGUCUGAAGUGAAAUACCCGGGCUCAACCUGGGAACUGCUUUGGAAACUGUUGUUCUAGAGUGUUGGAGAGGUAAGUGGAAUUCCUGGUGUAGCGGUGAAAUGCGUAGAUAUCAGGAAGAACACCGGAGGCGAAGGCGGCUUACUGGACAAUAACUGACGUUGAGGCUCGAAAGCGUGGGGAUCAAACAGGAUUAGAUACCCUGGUAGUCCACGCUGUAAACGAUGAAUACUAGGUGUCGGGGUGCAAAGCAUCUCGGUGCCGUCGCUAACGCAAUAAGUAUUCCACCUGGGGAGUACGUUCGCAAGAAUGAAACUCAAAGGAAUUGACGGGGACCCGCACAAGCGGUGGAGCAUGUGGUUUAA
rnacentral:rRNA from 1 species